AUGGCUAUAAGAUGGGGGGAAGAAACUAUUACAGUAGAAACAACAGCCGCCUUAAACCACCCGCAACACAACUCUGAGAUCUUCCCCUCUCAGUGUAUAUCCCGCCGCGAGAUUUCAAUGAAAACAACUAUCUUCACCCAGCCUUGCAACGAAUCCACCAAGCUACUGCUCAAAUCCCUCCACCGCGAAGCUCCCUCCAACGACGACCCAGCUCGCCGUGCUCAACCCAGCCGUGAGCUCACCCGGUCGCACAUACCCAUCAGAUCCGCCUCCCUCUGA